AGAAUCAACGCUGGCGGCGUGCCUAACACAUGCAAGUCGAACGAGAAAGGGGUAGCAAUACCCUGAGUAAAGUGGCGCACGGGUGAGUAACACGUGACUAACCUACCCUUGAGUGGGGGAUAACUGAGGGAAACCUUAGCUAAUACCGCAUAAUACCCACGGGUCAAAGGAGCAAUUCGCUCGAGGAGGGGGUCGCGGCCGAUUAGUUAGUUGGCGGGGUAAUGGCCCACCAAGACGAUGAUCGGGUAU
rnacentral:rRNA from 1 species